CUUCAACACAGAUUCGGUUCGAAAUCUUUUAAUAACAAAAAAAAGUUUUACGAAUGGUGGUAGCGUAGUCCAAAACAAUUGAACAAAUAUAACGACGAGCUAUAAAAGCUGAACACGUUUAUAGUGCAAUAUUAGUUUCUGUUAGAGGUCUCCUCAAGAAAGUACCGCGAAGCAAACAAAAUGAAGUUCGUCCUUGUUCUAGCAAUGUUGUUGGCUGUAGCCUUCGCCAUGCCCAAUGAUGACCUACUUGCGCAUAUUCAGGCUAUUGGUGAAGCCAUCGAGAACAAUCCAGAACUGGCCAAUGGAUGGUUGGGCAAUGCCUGGAACUGGGUUAAGAACAACAAGGAUGCCCUCGGAGCCAUUGCUGGUGGUGUUUUGAGCCUGGGAUAAAAUCUGGCGGUAGUACGGUAACCUUGAGACGAUGACAACAAUGAGAAUCAGCUUUAUUGGCUUGUUCAAAUAAUGGUUAUUGGAUUGAAAGGUAAUAAAUAUCAGGAAAUAAAAGAAUUCUGUUUUCCAUAAACUAUGA